AUUGAACGCUAGCGGCAUGCUUUACACAUGCAAGUCGAACGAGUGGCGGACGGGUGAGUAAUAUCUCGGAACGUGCCCAGUAGCGGGGGAUAACUACUCGAAACUGGGCUAAUACCGCAUACUAUUGGAUCUGCCCAUAUCGUAUUAGCUAGUUGGUGGGGUAAAGGCUCACCAAGGCAACGAUCCCUAGCUGGUGUGAGAGGACGACCAGGCACACUGGAACUGCGACACGGGCAAGACUCCUACGGGAGGCAGCAGUGGGGAAUAUUGCACAAUGGGGGAAAGCCUGAUGCAGCAAUGCCGCGUGUAUGAAGAAGGCCUUAGGGUUGUAAAGUACUUUGGGCAGAGAAGCGGGAAGAGAAGAAGAAGCACCGGCUAACUACGUGCCAGCAGCCGCGGUAAUAG
rnacentral:rRNA from 1 species